rnacentral:miRNA from 1 species
AGUGGCAUUGGAGGUAUCCC